UGUGAGUCAGUGAGUGACCGGUGACUGGCUGCUGCAGCCAAUGAUGCGAUUCACAUACGUAUUUACCAUAGACUGUAUAUAAUGGUAUUUACGCAGCUAAUCAACGUCAGGCGUCCUUAUGUGCAGCCACCGUUGUUCUCAUAGAUAUGAAUGAGUAGAUAGGACACGCCCCUUUGAGCUGCGUGCUACUGCGAGGCUAAGCUAGUGGGGGCAAAGUUUCAGUGCAUUCCGUUGAUGUAGACGGCGUGAAAACGGAAACAACAAGUAUGCCGGCUCACUGUGCUGCAUACAGUUACACACUACGUCGUACGAUUGAGACAAGGAAACUUGGAAUGACUUUUCAUAGGUUUCCCAGAGACUAUGGGUUGAGGAGGAAGUGGAAGUUUGUCGGCUUAGACCUGGUGUCAUUCCAUCAGUGUUAAACUUCCCGGUUCAUCUUGGAAGAGUACGUGCCAGAAAGACCACGACCAAGCAGCCUUGAGAUCUUAGACAGCGUCUCCCUCAGGUCCCUCUCUAUCUCCCCACACAUCCACCAACCACUGGAACACAUCUCCAAAGUUCUGCUGGACCAGCUCAGCUUCCCCUCAGAAGAAGUGCUGCCACCUGACAGAUGAAGGAGCCUCUUGAGAGGCAGCUGGCAUCGUGAUUGGACUGUACUUUGGUCUGUUCCAGUCCAGCUUCAGCUCCAGAGACGGCAGGCGGGACGAGUCAACGGAGGCCUGGUGGACGAAGGCAUGCAGCUGAGUACAAUCCAGAAAACAACAGAGGAGGAGUGCAGUGACCCAGAGCCAGAACAACCAGAGUAGCAUCACCAAAGAACUACAGACCCUUCACAACCUGCUCAAACUCUUGGUACAGGACCUCACCACACGGGUCAAGAAGGUUUCCUUCUCAUUUCUACUCUGAAGCUCACCUUCUCCUGCUCAAACUGCUGACAAAUGUUUCUGCUGCUCUAAAGUCUGGUCUCCAGAACUUCCUAAAAACUCUCAAAGUCUCUUCUGCUGCAGGCUGCUUUGUAGAACUGUUCCAGAAAACCUCACUAAACCACAUGGAGGGGCCUCAAGAUAGUCGUCCAAAUGAAACCAUACAAAAACCAAACUAGCACAACCCAAACACUAAAGUCUCCUGCAGCCUACCAGAGAACCUCUGAGAACAGAGAAUCAGGACAGGAACUCUUACCUUCUGGACAACCAACGUUGGUUCACUACAAGAAUACAGAAUGUGUCUGACCAAAAACCUCUGAAGACUCACUACAGCCAAGAUAAAGACACAACUCAGCUGCAACAAAUCCACUAAUCACUGCACACAUUAGUACCAUGUGCUAACUGUGGCUAAAGAACCACAUUUACCAAGACAACUAUCCGGUACAAAGCCCUAAAACACACCAAGAAACACAUUAAAGAUGAUUUUACUGCUGGAAGCUGCAAGCCAACGCCUAAAGAACAAACUGAAGCAAUGGAGCCAAACCCAGUUCACUGGUGAAGAGAAGCAGAGGAAAUGUUUGUCUGCAGCAAAAUAAAGCAGGAAGACACUGAGCUGCUCAGGUGUUCCUGAUAACACCAAGCUGCUCAGGUGUUCCUGAUAACACCAAGCAGCCACCUGGACAGCCAAUAGGAACACAGCUUACUGGAAGUCCAGAGGGCUGGCUUAGUGAAGGAAAUUUAGUUUAAAGUUGAAGCAGAAAGUUAACAAAGAAAGUUGAAAACCACCUUCUGAUCCCUGAAAUCUCUGAGUUUUCACACAAAGAACACCUGAACAUGUCAAACUGGUUCCAUAGUAGAACCAUCAUUGUAAAAAUGUCAUAGUAUGGUGUGUUGCUCAAAAAACAUUAGGACCCAGCUGUCAGGGGACAAACAUGUAAGAAACAUGAGAACAGAGAGAAUCCAACCAGUAGGUCACAGUUUAUCAUCAUCUAAUCAUCUCCUGAAGUCCAUAUGGUGAGAGACAUCAGUAUCUGGUUGUUAAUUUACCAGAGGAUGCUUAUAAUCAUGCUGAUGUGGUCUGUACUCUACAGUAUUUUAGUGACUCAAUAAAUGCCUAAGUUGUUUUUUUUAAUGCUUUUUAGUUUUUAAUAAACAUUUAAGAGCCUAUAUGUAAUCAAUAAAUGGCCUUUGCCUAUCUUAAGAAAAAUUCACUCAGAACUCUGAUAUGUUAACAGUACUAAAUAAAUCAAUAAAUACAUGCAUACACACAUAAAUAAGUUAAUACAUUAACUGUGUUAAGAUAAGAUUUAGAUUUUUUAAAAAGUUGUUUAUGUUUUUGCAGAAUCCAGUAUUGCUCACUGGUUGGUCAUUACAUUUUAUUAGUUUGAUUUCACUGUUUAAAAUGAUGCCACCUCUUUUCAGACAGAACCUGUGAUAAUAAAACAAUACAAAAUUUUUAGUUCUGUGUUAAUAAAGCACUUAAAGCUUUAAGUAUGACUAAAUUCUUUUUUCAAAAUUAAAUAUAUCACUCCUUAGGUGGUAGUGGCCCCAAGUUCAGUAAAGUUGGAAAGAUAUUCACAGAUUGGGACUUCCAGCAUCAAUAACUCAUUAGAUAUAGGUUGUCAAAACAUAAACGGUGCCUCUUUCCCAUUGUUGCAAGGCAGACAAUGUGCUACAAGCCCAGUUUUAUCAAAAGUAGCUGUCUUUCAAGCUACAGGAAUAACAUUGGUGUCUAUGGAGUGAACAGGGUCCGUCUGCAAUUUGCAAAACCGCUGCAACAGUAAAGAGAGACAAAUAUUCAAUAACUUCACUCUUAUACAUUGUAGUGUCACUAAAAUCACUGCAGCCUUCAACUGGCUCCUGUUGACAAAGUGUUUUAACAGAAAUGUAAAUGCUGUAAUUUGAUUCUUUUAAUGAACCAUGUAACUUGAAUGGAUGUGAUGCUGGUGUGACCACAGUGCACACGUCUGAUGUUGCUCACAGUGGUCCAAGAGACGCUCAGGGAGUUUGUGUGUUUGCUCAC